rnacentral:rRNA from 1 species
GGUGCGAGCGUUGUCCGGAAUUACUGGGCGUAAAGAGCUCGUAGUUGGUUUGUCGCGUUGUUCGUGAAAUCUCACGGCUUAACUGUGAGCGUGCGGGCGAUACGGGCAGACUAGAGUACUGCAGGGGAGACUGGAAUUCCUGGUGUAGCGGUGGAAUGCGCAGAUAUCAGGAGGAACACCGGUGGCGAAGGUGGGUCUCUGGGCAGUAACUGACGCUGAGGAGCGAAAGCGUGGGGAGCGAACAGGAUUAGAUACCCUGGGUAGUCCACGCCGUAAACGGUGGGUACUAGGUGUGGGUUUCCUUCCUUGGGGAUCCGUGCCGUAGCUAACGCAUUAAGUACCCCGCCUGGGGA